rnacentral:rRNA from 1 species
CGUGGAGACAGGUGGUGCAUGGCUGUCGUCAGCUCGUGUCGUGAGCUGUUGGGUUAAGUCCCGCAACGAGCGCAACCCUCACCCCUUGUUGCCAUCAGGUCACGCUGGGCACUCUAGGGGAACUGCCCCGGUCAACGGGGAGGAAGGUGGGGACGACGUCAAGUCAUCAUGCCCCUUACGCCCUGGGCUACACACGUGCUACAAUGGCCGGUACAAAGGGAUGCAAGACCGUGAGGUGGAGCUAAACCCAAAAAGCCGGUCUAAGUUCAGAUUGGAGUCUGCAACUCGACUCCAUGAAGGAGGAAUCGCUAGUAAUCGUGGAUCAGCAUGCCACGGUGAAUACGUUCCCGGGCCUUGUACACACCGCCCGUCACACCACGAAAGUCUGCUGUACUCGAAGUCGCUGAG